rnacentral:rRNA from 1 species
AUUGAACGCUGGCGGAAUGCUUUACACAUGCAAGUCGAGCGGCAGCGCGGGGCAACCUGGCGGCGAGCGGCGAACGGGUGAGUAAUACAUCGGAACGUACCCAGUUGUGGGGGAUAACACAUCGAAAGAUGUGCUAAUACUGCAUACGACCUGAGGGUGAAAGGGGGGGAUCGCAAGACCUCUCGCAGUUGGAGCGGCCGAUGUCAGAUUAGCUAGUUGGUGAGGUAAAGGCUCACCAAGGCGACGAUCUGUAGCUGGUCUGAGAGGACGACCAGCCACACUGGAACUGAGACACGGUCCAGACUCCUACGGGAGGCAGCAGUGGGGGAUUUUGGACAAUGGGGGCAACCCUGAUCCAGCCAUUCCGCGUGAGGGAAGAAGGCCUUCGGGUUGUAAACCUCUUUCGGCAGGAACGAAACGGUGAAGGCUAAUAUCCUUUAUCAAUGACGGUGCCUGAAGAAGAAGCACCGGCUAACUACGUGCCAGCCGCCGCAGUAA